rnacentral:rRNA from 1 species
GGUGAACGCUGGCGGUAGGCCUAACACAUGCAAGUCGAACGGCAGCACAGUAAGAGCUUGCUCUUACGGGUGGCGAGUGGCGGACGGGUGAGGAAUACAUCGGAAUCUACUUUUUCGUGGGGGAUAACGUAGGGAAACUUACGCUAAUACCGCAUACGACCUACGGGUGAAAGCAGGGGAUCUUCGGACCUUGCGCGAUUGAAUGAGCCGAUGUCGGAUUAGCUAGUUGGCUGGGUAAAGGCCCACCAAGGCGACGAUCCGUAGCUGGUCUGAGAGGAUGAUCAGCCACACUGGAACUGAGACACGGUCCAGACUCCUACGGGAGGCAGCAGUGGGGAAUAUUGGACAAUGGGCGCAAGCCUGAUCCAGCCAUACCGCGUGGGUGAAGAAGGCCUUCGGGUUGUAAAGCCCUUUUGUUGGGAAAGAAAAGCAGCAGGUUAAUACCCCGCUGUUCUGACGGUACCCAAAGAAUAAGCACCGGCUAACUUCGUG